rnacentral:rRNA from 1 species
GACGAACGCUGGCGGCGUGCCUAACACAUGCAAGUCGAGCGAAUGAAGUUCCUUCGGGAAUGGAUUUAGCGGCGGACGGGUGAGUAACACGUGGGCAACCUGCCUCAUAGAGGGGAAUAGCCUUCCGAAAGGGAGAUUAAUACCGCAUAAGAUUGUAGUAUCGCAUGAUACAGCAAUUAAAGGAGCAAUCCGCUAUGAGAUGGGCCCGCGGCGCCUUAGCUAGUUGGUGAGGUAACGGCCCACCAAGGCGACGAUGCGUAGCCGACCUGAGAGGGUGAGCGGCCACAGUGGGACUGGGACACGGCCCAGACUCCUACGGGAGGCAGCAGUGGGGAAUAUUGCACAAUGGGGGAAACCCUGAUGCAGCAACGCCGCGUGAGUGAUGACGGCCUUCGGGUUGUAAAGCUCUGUCUUCAGGGACGAUAAUGACGGUACCUGAGGAGGAAGCCACGGCUAACUACGUG